ACCCGCUCCCUCCCCAGCUCUGAGAAGCGCAGCCAGUGCAGCCGGUUCGAGGUGGGCGCGGUGACCAACUACAGCCCCCGGCAUGGCAAAGUGUUCUUCUUGGAGAACCUCACGGCCUGGGUGGAGGCACGCUGGGGGCACCAGGUCCACAGGACCCCCAACCACACCCUUUACCUCAACAAGGCUGUCAAACUGGAUCCACCUCCUAGUGAGAUGCCCUUCUCCAAGACUGGUGGCCAGCUGAGAGUGCAGGUGCCAAAGCUGCAGUGCCACGGCCUGGAGCAGCCGCCACAGCAUGAGGCUCGCUUCUGGAGGGUGGGAGACAGCAGCUGGACACAGGUGACAUGUGAGACUGUGACGGUGACGGGUGGAGAUGUCUCAGUGACCUGUGCCCUGGGGGUCAAUGGCACCUUCGUGGUCCAGCUCCGGCACAAGUUUCCCGACUGGAGCAGCUACUGGAGUGACUGGAGCAGCAACAUCUCUGUUCCCGAGGAAAUUCUGCGGAGCCCAGUGCUGAGCCAUCAUCUGGGCAAACUGGGGAGAGAUGGGCAGCGGGUGCUGAGGCUGAGUUGGCAGGUACAGUGUCAUCCCUGGGGGCCCUCCUGCAUGUCCCCCACAAUUUCAUCCCCUGAGUCACCCCCUUUUCCUCCCCAGCCAGUCCUCAAGGAGCAGAGGAAUGUCACCUACAAGCUGGACGUCCACAUGUUGGCGUGUGGCUGUGCAGAGUCAGAUGAGGAGGACUCUGUGGAGCUGGGCUGGGAGGAGACAGAGUACAACCUCACCCUCUCCGGGGCGGAAUACGAAAUCCUGCUGACCGCGGCCAACGCCGCGGGGCCGGGGCCGGCGCGGCAGCUCCGUGUGCCGCCAGAGCAGCGAGCGGGUACCUGCCCCUGUAGAAAUGCUGAGCUCCCCUGGCAGCUCUCAGGGCGUUAUUUCUUCCAUCCACCCCGAUUUUCCCCUGUUUCAUCCCAGAUCUCAGCUUCAAAGAGAUCAGCGUGGCAGGAGGCGCCGUGACUGCGCAGUGGGAAGCGCCGGUCCCUGGCGAUGCUUUCUGCUUCGAGCAGCAGACGCUGCCAGGGCCUCCGAAACAGGGAGUCUGCGUCCGGCAGGAAUUCCCUGCCAACAGCAGCCACGUGCAGAGCGGCAAGCCAGCCCCCCAAGCCCCCCGCUGUCCCCCCAGCUGGGGGAAGAGGGUCUAAGCAUCACCCCAAUUCCUCCCCAGGAGCGCUGGGAGCGCCGGGCUGUCACCGCCUGGCCGUGCACGGCCGGGACGAGGAGCGCGGCUGGGCCACCUUCGCCCUGUGGCACCGCUACCGCAGCAACGGUGCGUGUGCGAGCGCGGGGCAUCCGCACCUGCCUUCACUCCAUUGCGGGCUCUCCUGAAAUAAUCCCCCGCGCUUUUGCACGCAGAUUCGCUGGACGUGCCCAUCAGCAUCAGCAGCGCAGAUGUCGCGGCUGUGCUGCAGUGGACACCGUCCCCACGCGCCGCCUGUCCCGGCGCGCUGGCCAAGUACCUCAUCUGCCACUCGGCCAAGGGGGACAACGAGACCUGUGAGUGGGACCCCCAUCCCCGUGGGGCAGGAGGAGGGUGCUGCCCCCAGGCAGCCGCCAGACUGCUCCACAUUCGGUUUUGUUUGCCCAGACAGUGAAGUGAACGCCACGGCAUCAAACUACACCCUUCAAAACCUCCAGCCUGGCACAGCCUACAGGGUGAGUGUGCGGGAGGUGACAGAGGACAGCGAGGGGACCUGCAGAGUUUGGUGGCACUUCCAGACCAAGGCACUGGGUAAUGGCUGAGACCUCGUGCUCUCCCCACUCCCCAUGAGGUGUUCUCUCCACUGUGUGCUCGCCCUCACCCCAAAACGUCUCCUGUGUCCCUGUUGGGGGCAGGGAUGUCACCACUCAGCCAUCCCAAUCCCCAGGUCCCCAGGGAGCAGUGUGGACAGGCAAUCUGAAGUACCUGAGCAUCUCGCUGGGUCUCCCCGCCGCAGCUGCCAUCUACCACCUGACCAAAAAGAGGUGACGGAGCACCCAGAGCCGCUCAGGCCACCCCCACCAUUACCCACCCCCUCACCAACCACUCCCUCCCCAGGGUUGGCCGCCUCCUCUUCCCACCCGUUCCCCAGCCCGUGGGCACCAAAGCCAUCCAGUUCUCGGCCGGCGAGAUGAGCCAGGUGAGGUGUAAGGUGCAGGAGGGGGCAGAUCCCGCAGCCCAAAUCGCCCAUGGCACUGCCCUGGCACGGGAUGUCCCACCCCAAAUCCACCCAACCCUUAGGGCCAGCCCCGCAGAGGCCUCCUGGAACCCUCGGAGAGGUUCAAUCCAGCCGAGCUGCUGCUGCUGACGGAGCCGAAUCCCAGCGAGGAGACGACAGACACGGGCACUCAGACUGUGGUGCCGCCGCCCGACGUGGCACAGCCCGGCCCCGCGCUGGAACAGCCGGCGGCAGUGGCGGUGACCCCGCCGGGCUGUGCGGACGAGCUGCCCUUCGCCUACCGCAGGCAGGACAUGCUGAGCCCGCUGGGAUCUCCAUCCUCCGGCAGCACCAGCUGCAGCGGGCACCCACCCGCAGAGGAGGAGGAGGAGGAGGAGGAAGAGAAGGAGGAGGAGGAGGAGGAGGAGGAAGAGAAGGAGGAGGAGGGAAGGCAAGGGCUGCACCAGCCGCUGAUCCCCAUUGCCCUGCUCAUCUCCGACAAACCCAUCAUCAUCAGGGAUGGGGAAGGAUGGGAUCCCUCGCCGCAGAAGUCGGUGCCGUAGCCAUCAGCAGGCUGGAGCAGCGGGGCUGGACGGCAGGAAGGGCGCGGGGGUGUCCCACGGAAUGCGGAUUGGCUGCGUGGGAUGCUGAGUGCCCAGCCCGUGGGUGGCACCGGCACUUCCAGGGGGUUUUCUGGUUUCCAGGACACAGAAGGCGAUGCCUCUGAAUGCAGCACUGCACCGGGACAAGUUUUGGCCACGCAAUUUGCAGCCUCAACCUUUCACCGGCGAUAAAACCCGAGCGAAAGUGGCUGCAGAGUCCGGCCAGGACCGAGGGUAUUUCCAUGCCUGGGAAGAGAGGCAGAGCUCCAUCUCAGCCGGCUGCUACCUCUGGAACCACUAUCCUGGUGGAGAUGCAAAAAGCCCCAACACCAAACACCAACUACCUGCAAAAAAAAAAAAAAAAAAAAAAAAAAAAAAAGGGGGGGGGGGGGGGGGGGGGGGAAAAAAAAAAAAAAAAAAAAAAAAAUAAAACCAGGUUUAAAAUUUUAAAUAACUGCACAAAGCAGCAGGGCCGAGAUGGUUUUUCUUCGCCUGACCCGGGCAGAUUACAGCGAGCAUUUAGAGCCGAGGUUCAACCCACGGCACUGUGGAGGACGCAGGCAGGCAGCCGGGACGGGGGUGAUCCAUGGGGCCCCCCAGCCCCUUCCCGUGGGGACAGGGGGGGGGGGGGGGGGGGGGGGGGUGAUCCAUGGGGCCCCCCCAGCCCCUUCCCGUGGGGACACGCCGCCGCCUCGGGCCUUACCUGGGACAGCACUGGAGAUGAAAAGCAAUUUGUGGUUUUGUCUGCCUGGCGCGGCGGUGUUUACUUGCUGAGAGAGCAAAAAAAAAAAAAAAAAAAAGGGGGGGGGGGGGGGGGGGGGGGGGGGGGGGGGGGGGGGGGGGGGGGGGGGGGGGGGGGGGGGGGGGGGGGGGGGGGGGGGGGGGGGGGGGGG
ensembl:lncRNA